rnacentral:SRP_RNA from 1 species
UCUUUAGACCUGUGCAAUGACUACUUUGGCAUCGCUUCAGGGCGGGAACGCAGCAGAGCACUGGAUUAGCUCGUGUGCCGCAGGUAUCUGGGGAAGA